ACGUAGGGUGCGAGCGUUAAUCGGAAUUACUGGGCGUAAAGCGUGCGCAGGCGGUUGUGCAAGACAGGUGUGAAAUCCCCGGGCUUAACCUGGGAACUGCGCUUGUGACUGCACGACUAGAGUACGGCAGAGGGGGGUGGAAUUCCUGGUGUAGCAGUGAAAUGCGUAGAUAUCAGGAGGAACACCGAUGGCGAAGGCAGCCCCCUGGGCCUGUACUGACGCUCAUGCACGAAAGCGUGGGGAGCAAACAGGAUUAGAUACCCUGGUAGUCCACGCCCUAAACGAUGUCGACUAGUUGUUCGGGAAGGUGACUUCUUGAGUAACGUAGCUAACGCGUGAAGUCGACCGCCUGGGGAGUACGGCCGCAAGGUUA
rnacentral:rRNA from 1 species